rnacentral:rRNA from 1 species
AUUGAACGCUGGCGGAAUGCUUUACACAUGCAAGUCGAGCGGCAGCGCGGGGGCAACCCUGGCGGCGAGCGGCGGACGGGUGAGUAAAGCAUCGGAACGUAUCCUGGAGUGGGGGGAUAACGUAGCGAAAGUUACGCUAAUACCGCAUAUUCUGUGAGCAGGAAAGCAGGGGAUCGCAAGACCUUGCGCUCUGGGAGCGGCCGAUGUCGGAUUAGCUAGUUGGUGGGGUAAAGCCUACCAAGGCGACGAUCCGUAGCGGGUCUGAGAGGAUGAUCCGCCACACUGGGACUGAGACACGGCCCAGACUCCUACGGGAGGCAGCAGUGGGAAUUUUGGACAAUGGGCGGAAGCCUGAUCCAGCCAUGCCGCGUGAGUGAAGAAGGCCUCGGUUGU